UACGAGGGGGGCGAGCGUUGUUCGGAAUUACUGGGCGUAAAGAGUGUGUAGGCGGUGCUCUAAGUUCGGUGUGAAAUCUCCUGGCUUAACUGGGAGGGUGCGCCGGAAACUGGAGUGCUCGAGCGUGGGAGAGGAAAGCGGAAUUCCUGGUGUAGCGGUGAAAUGCGUAGAUAUCAGGAGGAACACCUGCGGUGUAGACGGCUUUCUGGACCAUAGCUGACGCUGAGACACGAAAGCGUGGGUAGCAAACAGG
rnacentral:rRNA from 1 species